GACGAACGCUGGCGGCGUGCUUAACACAUGCAAGUCGAACGGAAAGGCCCUGCUUUUGUGGGGUGCUCGAGUGGCGAACGGGUGAGUAACACGUGAGUAACCUGCCCUUGACUUUGGGAUAACUUCAGGAAACUGGGGCUAAUACCGGAUAGGAGCUCCUGCUGCAUGUUGGGGGUUGGAAAGUUUCGGCGGUUGGGGAUGGACUCGCGGCUUAUCAGCUUGUUGGUGGGGUAGUGGCUUACCAAGGCUUUGACGGGUAGCCGGCCUGAGAAGGUGACCGGCCACCUUGGUCCUGAGGUACGCACCAGACUCCUACGGGAGGCAGCAGUGGGGAAUCUUGCGCAAUGGGCGGAAGCCUGAUGCAGCAACGCCGCGUGCGGGAUGACGGCCUUCGGGUUGUAAACCGCUUUCGCCUGUGACGAAGCGUGAGUGACGGUACUUGGUCAAGAAGCACCGGCUAACUACGUG
rnacentral:rRNA from 1 species